rnacentral:rRNA from 1 species
CAGUCGCCACGGGAAAACGGAGGGGGCUAGCGUUGUUCGGAAUUACUGGGCGUAAAGCGUACGUAGGCGGCUUUGUAAGUUAGAGGUGAAAGCCUGGUGCUCAACACCAGAACUGCCUUUAAGACUGCAUCGCUUGAACGUCGGAGAGGUAAGUGGAAUUCCGAGUGUAGAGGUGAAAUUCGUAGAUAUUCGGAAGAACACCAGUGGCGAAGGCGGCUCACUGGCUCAUUCUAGACGCUGAGGUGCGAAAGCGUGGGGAGCAAACAGGAUUAGAUACCCCAGUAGUCCCUGUCUCUUAUAC